rnacentral:rRNA from 1 species
CAAUAGCGUAUAUUAAAGCUGUUGCGGUUAAAAAGCUCGUAGUUGGAUUUCUGUCAAGGACAACUGGUCCGCCCUCCGGGUGAGCACAUAGUUUGGUCUUGGCAUCUUGCUGGAAACUGUUGCUGCACUUGGCUGUGUGGCGCAGUGUCCAGCACUUUCACUUUGAGGAAAUUGGAGUGUUUCAAGCAGGCACAUGCCUUUGGACACAGUAGCAUGGAAUAAUUAGAUUGGGCUUUUGCUCCAAUUUGUCGGUUUCUGGAGCUGAGGUGAGAAUUAAUGGGGAUUGUUGGGGGCAUCCGAAUUUAGCUGUCAGAGGUGAAAUUCUUGGAUCUGCUAAAGACGGACAACUGCGAAAGCGUUUGCCCAGGAUGUUUUCAUUG